rnacentral:rRNA from 1 species
GAUGAACGCUGGCGGCGUGCCUAAUACAUGCAAGUCGAGCGAACGGACGAGAAGCUUGCUUCUCUGAUGUUAGCGGCGGACGGGUGAGUAACACGUGGAUAACCUACCUAUAAGACUGGGAUAACUUCGGGAAACCGGAGCUAAUACCGGAUGAUAUUUUGAACCGCAUGGUUCAAAAGUGAAAGACGGUCUUGCUGUCACUUAUAGAUGGAUCCGCGCUGCAUUAGCUAGUUGGUAAGGUAAUGGCUUACCAAGGCAACGAUGCAUAGCCGACCUGAGAGGGGGAUAGGCCACAAUGGAACUGAGACACGGUCCAGACUCCUACGGGAGGCAGCAGUAGGGAAUCUUCCGCAAUGGGCGAAAACCUGACGGAGCAACGACGCGUGAGUGAUGAAGGUCUUCGGAUCGUAAAACUCUGUUAUUAGGGAAGAACAUAUGUGUAAGUAACUGUGCACAUCUUGACGGUACCUAAUCAGAAAGCCACGGCUAACUACGUG